AUGGACAGACUUAUUGACGUAGGGAAUACAUAUAUGGACCUUGAUUUAUCCAGAGAAAGAGACGUUAGACAAAUACGUAGUCAAUUUGUUCAGAAUUGUUGUUCAGUGGCAAAAGACUACUUUAGAACUAGCCGUCCUAAUUGGGACUCUAUGGACCUCAAUGAACUAAGGAGAGUAGCAACCUAUGUUUAUAAAGGUCGUGUAAAAAGACCUGAGGAAGACGAUACAUCAGUGGAAGAUUUAAAGAAAGAAAUUGAAAUGUUAAAGAGACAAUUGAAAAAUAAGGGAGAGACUAUAGCCCCUUUGCGGGAAUUCACAACCAGAACAACUAUAAUGAUGAUAAUGGUCAUAGAAACUAGAAUUUUAGAAAUUCUAGAAAUUAUAAUGAUGAUUAUGGAAAUAACUAUAAUGAACAUAGAAAUAAGAACUUUAGAAACCAGAAUUAUAGAAAUAGGAACUGAGAAAAUAAUGACAAUGCUCCAAAUGAAGAAAAUUAUAAUACCCAACAACAAAAUAUAAGAAAUGGAAUUUGUCCAAAAAAUAGUCGAGGUGCCCUUCAGGGGGGUGCCCAAGGAAUAUCCCAAACACAAUGAUGGCGUCUGGGGGGGUGGGGCACAGGAAUCAGAGGAUACAACCUUUGAUUUUCCGGACCCUGAUGUCCUACUACCCGUUGUCCCUAUCCACUGCCCUCCCCAUACUAAUGAACUCCAUGUUACCUUAAAGGUGGGUAACACUUAUUAUGAUUGUCUAUUAGACACUGGAGCUACCAGGUCUAUAUUGAAGAAUGUACCAGAUUUAAAUUGUUAUUCCGUUGAUUCACUAAGUGUAAUGGGGGUAUCAAGAAUACCCCAAAGAGUUGAAAAACUUGCCCCUAGAAUGGUAUCUGUAGGACCCCUAGAGGUACAACAUUCCUUUAUUUUGAUGCCUGACUCCCCUUUAAAUUUGCUGGAGAGAGACCUUCUAUGCAAACUCAGAGCCACAAUAACUUGUUCACCAGAUGGUUCUUUAUCAUUGGAAGUACCAGAGUAAUCUUUAAAUUUACUCCCUGUACUUCUCUCGGAAAACCAGGAGGCAAAAGAGUCUUCCACUUUUGAAAUACCUAAGGAUAUACCAUAGUCUCUUUGGGCCACAUCUUCUUCCAAUGUAGGCUUACUUAAAUCUGCUGUUCCUGUGCAGAUAAAAACUAAAUCUAGCCCACCUCCUUCCAUCCCUCAGUAUCCCCUCUCAAAGGUGGCAAUUGAGGGUAUUACACCAGUUAUUAACUCAUUAAUAGAACAGGGAAUAAUAAUCCCUUGCAAAUCUGAAUACAACAUGCCCAUCCUGCCAGUUAAGAAAAACAAAAAGAGGGCCCAAUGGCAAGCACCUCUAUAGAUUCGUACAGGAUCUGAGGGCAGUGAAUAAUCAUGUUAUAAAGAGACACUCCAUAGUUUCUAACAUAAAUACUAUUAUUUCCUCUAUUCCUAGCACAGCUACAUACUUUACAGUAGUAGACUUGUGUUCAGCUUUCUUUUCCAUACCU
rnacentral:lncRNA from 1 species